rnacentral:rRNA from 1 species
GUGUCAGCAGCCGCGGUAAUACGGAGGGUGCAAGCGUUAUCCGGAAUCACUGGGUUUAAAGGGUGCGUAGGCGGCUUGGUAAGUCAGGGGUGAAAGCUUCCCGCUCAACGGGAGAACUGCCCUUGAUACUGCCAGGCUCGAAUUGGGUUGAGGCCGGCGGAAUGUGGCAUGUAGCGGUGAAAUGCUUAGAUAUGCCAUAGAACACCGAUUGCGAAGGCAGCCGGCCAAGCCUUGAUUGACGCUGAGGCACGAAAGCGUGGGGAGCGAACAGGAUUAGAAACCCCUGUAGUCC